ensembl:lncRNA
AUAAAACACACCUGGAUCAGACUACUCUACUAACUACUGAUCUAAAACACACCUGGAUCAGACUACUAAGUACUGGUCUAAAACACACCUGGAUCAGACUACUCUACUAACUACUGAUCUAAAACACACCUGGAUCAGACUACUAAGUACUGGUCUAAAACACACCUGGAUCAGACUACUAACUACCGGUCUAAAACACACCUGGAUCAGACUACUCUACUAACUACUGGUAUAAAACACACCUGGAUCAGACUACUCUACUAACUACUGAUCUAAAACACACCUGGAUCAGACUACUAAGUACUGGUCUAAAACACACCUGGAUCAGACUAGUCCACUAACUACUGGUCUAAAACACACCUGAUCAGACUACUAACUACUGGUCUAAAACACACCUGGAUCAGACUACUCUACUAACUACUGGUCUAAAACAACCCUGGAUCAGACUACUCUACUAACUACUGGUCUAAAACACACCUGGAUCAGACUACUAACUACUGAUCUAAAACACACCUGGAUCAGACUACUAACUACUGGUCUAAAACCCACCUGGAUCAGACUACUAACUACUGGUCUAAAACCCCCUGGAUCAGACUACUAACUACUGGUCUAAAACACACCUGGAUCAGACUACUCUACUAACUACUGGUCUAAAACAACCCUGGAUCAGACUACUAACUACUGGUCUAAAACACACCUGGAUCAGACUACUAACUACCGGUCUAAAACACACCAGGAUCAGACUACUCUACUAACUACUGGUCUAAAACACACCUGGAUCAGACUACUCUACUAACUACCGGUCUAAAACACACCAGGAUCAGACUACUCUACUAACUACCGGUCUAAAACACACCUGGAUCAGACUACUAACUACUGGUCUAAAACACACCUGGAUCAGACUACUCUACUAAGUACUGGUCUAAAACACACCUGGAUCAGACUACUCUACUAACUACCGGUCUAAAACACACCAGGAUCAGACUACUCUACUAACUACUGGUCUAAAACCCACCUGGAUCAGACUACUAACUACUGGUCUAAAACACACCUGGAUCAGACUACUCUACUAACUACUGGAUCAGACUCAUUUCCACAGCAAAUGGAGCUGCCGUUCUCUGGUCUGGAGUUGACCUUCAUCAUCAUCGCCUUCAUCAUAUUUUCUCUCUUCAGCCUGGCCUCAGUCUGUACUCAGCCAGACACAGGUACACACACACACACACCUGGUUAAAUAAUGG